rnacentral:rRNA from 1 species
ACGUAGGGUGCGAGCGUUAAUCGGAAUUACUGGGCGUAAAGCGUGCGCAGGCGGUUAUAUAAGACAGAUGUGAAAUCCCCGGGCUCAACCUGGGAACUGCGUUUGUGACUGUAUGACUAGAGUACGGCAGAGGGAGGUGGAAUUCCGCGUGUAGCGGUGAAAUGCGUAGAGAUGCGGAGGAACGCCGAUGGCGAAGGCAGCCUCCUGGUCCAGUACUGACGCUCAUGCACGAAAGCGUGGGGAGCAAACAG